rnacentral:rRNA from 1 species
UAUUAUUCUGUGGGUAGAUAAGUAAGGCUAAAGUAGUAAAAGUUAUGUUCUGGAAAUUUAAAGAAUUUGGCGGUGUUUUAGUCUUUUCAGAGGAAUCUGUCCUUUAAUUGAUAAUACACGAUUAAUUAUACUUGAUUUAUUAGUUUAUAUACCGCCGUCGUAAGAAUAUGUUGUUGAGAUUUUAAAUUUUCCUUUUUUAUAAUAGUAAAAUAAGUCAGGUCAAGGUGUAGUUUAUAUUUAAGUAGAGAUGGAUUACAAUGAAGAAAUUUAUAAGGAUUUGAAGUUUAAAGGUUUAAUGAAAGUGGAUUUGAUUGUAAAUGAAUUUUAAUUAAUUUAUUGAUUGAAGCUCUAGAAUGUGCACAUAUCGCCCGUCGCUCUUGUUAAUUGAUGAG